rnacentral:rRNA from 1 species
ACUCUCGGCAACGGAUAUCUCGGCUCACGCAUCGAUGAAGAACGUAGCAAAAUGCGAUACUUGGUGUGAAUUGCAGAAUCCCGUGAACCAUCGAGUUUUUGAACGCAAGUUGCGCCCAAAGCCAUCCGGUUGAGGGCACGUCUGCCUGGGCGUCACGCAUCGUAUAGC